rnacentral:rRNA from 1 species
AGACAGCAGCAGCCGCGGUAAUACGGAGGAUCCAAGCGUUAUCCGGAAUCAUUGGGUUUAAAGGGUCCGUAGGCGGUCUUGUAAGUCAGUGGUGAAAGCCCAUCGCUCAACGGUGGAACGGCCAUUGAUACUGCAGGACUUGAAUUAUUGGGAAGUAACUAGAAUAUGUAGUGUAGCGGUGAAAUGCUUAGAGAUUACAUGGAAUACCAAUUGCGAAGGCAGGUUACUACCAAUUGAUUGACGCUGAUGGACGAAAGCGUGGGUAGCGAACAGGAUUAGAUACCCGCGUAGUCCCUGUCUCUUAUAC